UUUAACAUUCGAGGACGAAUGUUCUAAAGGGGGGAAGAAUGUUACAUUCCGUAUUUUUGCAUUUUGGAUUAUUCGUACGCUAACGAUUAUAAAUUCAAGGACUUUUAAUUUUGAAUUUUAAAAGGACAUGAUUUGUUGUAGAUGCCAAGUUAUAUGAAUAAUUUAUGUGUAGUAAAAUACAUCUCAAGAAGGACCCUUAAGCCAAAUCAAAAUAGAAGCCAUCAAAUAUGUUUUUCUUAAAGUUACGUUUCGGGUAAGCUGACUUCGGGAGGCCAUAACCUCUUUAUAAUUUGAGAAUUUGGGAAAACUCUCAACAUGAAAGUUGUAGAUAAUUGAAAUAUCUUUCCAACCAUAGGUCGUGGGACGAAAUGUGAUAUCGGAGUAAUAAGAUAUAGACGUUUUAAGUCUGACAGGCCAAACUAAAUAGUGAAUUCGGCCCAACCCAAUUUUAAUUCGGGUCAGGCCCAAUACCCACGAAAUUAAUCAAAAUUCUAUGUCUUCCUUCAUAGUUUAGACCAAGAAAUAUCUGGAAAUUUCCAGAGAGAGUAAGAUAAGGGAAAGCUAGAGAGAAACACCAACAUCCACCACAAUUAAAGCCCCGAAUCUCAAAGCUCUUGAAGAGAAAAUUGUUGUACGUCGCGUUGGCUUCAAUUUGAGCUAGAAAUCAGCCAAUAAGGAGAAGAUUUUAUGUGGUGCUGCAAAUUUAAGGUUGAGACAAUAUUGGACAACAUAUACGUAUAAAUGCUAAAGGUACAAAUACUCAUUUUGGAGAGCCGCCAACUUAGGAUUCUACUCAACGAGUUUGAAGUGCUCCAUUGUCUCGGAGCCCAAACUUUGGGUACUAAUCCUUAUAAUGUAUAUAUUUGUGUAUUUAGGGGUACGACGGGGCCCUGUCCCAUCAUAUGCUAUUGUUAAUUCUCUUAGAGGUCUGUAGACAUAUGAGUGGGUUGUAUAUAGAUGUUGUCCGGUGUACUAGUAUGACUUAUGUUUUUGGACGUUUACAUUCAGAAUGGAAGCCUUGUCGGCUUACAUAUUAUGUUAUCUUAUUUUUGACAAUUAAGACUCCCCAAGAAAUAGCUGAUUUUGGUAUAUAUAUAAGUGACCGUUUGAGAUAACGUGCUACCCAUAUAAAUUCUAUAUCGUGUUUAAUUGUCGAUUGAUAAUAGAUAAUAUGUGUGUAUACGAGUGUCCAAUUUGGACACUAGUCACGGCCUACGGGGCUAGGUCGUGACACUACAUGCCUAAACCCUCAUUAACCUUAGUUUAUUUGAGAGCAAGAAUUGAAGAAGAGAAAGAAGCUAAGGUUCAGGCGUUUACUCCCAUCUUCCAAACUCUUGAUUGUUCUUCGAGUUACAGGUAUGUAAGGAUAACUAAAGCAUGGUUUAAGUUCUUCCAUGUGCCUCUAAGUAUAUGAUUGGUUGAGUAGU